rnacentral:rRNA from 1 species
UACGAAGGGGGCUAGCGUUGCUCGGAAUUACUGGGCGUAAAGCGCACGUAGGCGGCUCUUUAAGUCGGGGGUGAAAUCCUGGAGCUCAACUCCAGAACUGCCUUCGAUACUGGAGAGCUUGAGUUCGGGAGAGGUGAGUGGAACUGCGAGUGUAGAGGUGAAAUUCGUAGAUAUUCGCAAGAACACCAGUGGCGAAGGCGGCUCACUGGCCCGGUACUGACGCUGAUGUGCGAAAGCGUGGGGAGCAAACAGG